rnacentral:lncRNA from 1 species
UUGUCUCGAAACGGUUAGAACAUAGCUGAAUAUAUCAAACAUGCUAAUGGCAUUGGAUUGACUUUUUGAGAAAUAUAAUAGAAGGUUAACCCUUCAAUAUUGUAGGUUUUACAAAUAUCUUUUGACAGUCCGGAUGUGUGUUUUCCUUUGACCCUGCAAAAGAAUUGUAAAAGGAUGAGCAGUUUUGGAAAAUACCAAAGGCACGUCUAAGCACAGUAGAAUGUCCACAUAUCUCUUUAUCGCUAUAUAAUUCGUUUCGGUACCAUAUGACCUAAUGUUUUUCAUUUUCCUUCUACUCCAGACCAGGCAAGCAACGGCAAUGCUGGACAGGCUACUCUCGCACCAGACUCCCUUUAGGGUAGUUACCCACGGGCACUCACUUCUGCCGUUUAUUAUUACUUGUGAUUCCGCUUGUUGUGACUGGCUUGAUCCAUGUUGCGGCCCAAUUAUUAUUUUUGUUUAGUUGCGAUGGAUCGUCUUGGCUUGCUUUUGGCACACCUGAUUCCACUACCUUCUGUUAUUGCUUGGACCAGUUUACUAUGUACUGAACAUAUUUAUAUCAAUGUUGUGCUUCUGAUAUAAUCUUGCUAUGUUAUACUGGUGAUUUCCAGUGAUUACUCUGAUUUCCUACUUGCGCCAGUGAGUAUACAA